GGUCCCUGCAGGUGCGAGACCGCGCCCCGGCCUCUCCGUAGGCUCCGCCCCCUUCCCCCGCCCCUCCCCGGCCCCACCCCAGCCUCGCCCGUCCCCCGCCCCUCCCCCGCCCCAUAGCCCCAGUCGGGAUCCCGCUCCCGACCCCGCGGCCGCUCCCGGAGGUGGAGGAGGAGGCGGCGUGAGGAGGGUGCCGUGCCCUCGACGGGAGGCAGGAGGACGGACGGGGUGGCUGCGCCGGGGUCCGUGUCCCAGGGCUGGGAAGCCGUGGUGCCGCGCCCGACACCCCUCCCCGAGCUCUCUCGGAUCCUGAGGCGUAUGGAACCUCAAUGUGUUUGUGAUAAUGGAAACCAAAAAAUUGAUUGGUAAACCGCUUCAGCCAGCAAGACCAGUUAGACAUCUGUCUUCUCCUCAUGGUGUCAUUUUGGCAGAUCACUGGCUCCUGCUCAGAUCAAUACCCCAGCACAAAUUGUGCCAAUUGACAAUGAUCACUGCAGAGUCUUAGUGAAGAAGGAAAAAUCCUUGAAAAAAUUAGGUAUAUAAGUGCAGCAUAAAAAUUGUUGUUAUAAAACAGCACUUACAGAUUCUGUGGUGAUUGUGAUGUCAUAACUUUAUUUUGGUAAAGUUUAGGGCUAUGCUCUGAGCUGGAACAGGUAAUCUGACUUCUGGAAAUCUAAACAUAGGAAGAUAGGAGCAGCAUUCCCCUUUAAUUUUCAAAAUGAAAGUCCUUGCAGCACUCAGUGUUUACAAAGUGGAGUUGGCAGGCAGUGUAAGACUAAUGGAAUGCAAACCUUCACUCAAAGUCUUAGCCAACCACAGCAGCAUCAGUCUCCAGUCAAAAAAGAAAGAAUUAAAUAUAGCAGAGAUUUCCUGUUGAAGCUUUCAAGUGUUUCCAUCUGUAGAAAGAAACCAGACUUUCUGCCUGAUCAUCCCAUUGUACUCCAGAAGCCAGAAAACAACCAAAGUUUUAAGUAGCAUUUAUAAGAACAGAUGAUUUUGAAGAUAAAGAAUCGUUCAUUUUAUAUUUUGGACACCUAAAAAUGAAGUGGAUCUAGUAACAAUAACUGCGGUGGACCGUGACAAUCCAAUUUAUUUUUCAUUUCAAUGGUUGACUAUUUGGUUUUCCCUAAAAUGAGUAAGAAAUAUUUUAAACUAUAAAGAACUUUCUUUCUAAUCAGCUUCAGCUUUUGCAGGCAAGCAACUGCAUAAUUUGGGAAAUAACACUGGAAAGUAGUAAUUGACUUAGUUUUGUGGGAAGACCCGGUAUUUAUAAUUUGCACGUUACUUGCAAUUUUUUUGUUUUUCAUCAUUUGUAAUAAUGGAAUGGAAGUGCAAGCUGUAACGAUUCUCAAAUAUAAAAUAUUUGCUACUAUAUUAUGUAUAUAGUACAUAAUCUUUUGUUGCCUUUAAAGUUGCUUUUAUUCUUGUUUCCAAUAAUUUUAUACCAACACUUGAAAAGAUCUUUUGUAAUCUCCUCAAAGCCUUAAUUUUAUUGAGUAAAUUUAAUGGUGUGGUUCUCAAAGACAGAGAGGAGAAUUUUUUAUAGCCAUUUCUGACCAAUUGGUCUUUAGGUUGUUGGACAAUAAACAUUGUCUUGGCAAUCCUAAAAUUAUUAGCAUAGACACACUAAUUGGAGGCUGUGUUAGUGAUACCAAAUGGAACUAUGGAGCUGAAAAAAAUACUGCUUAUGCUAUAGAUCAGACUAUAUGAUAAGUAGUUCAGAGUGUUUAUAAACAGGACUAUUACUCUCAUAACCAAAAAGGAAAAUGUUAGGGAUUUGUAAAGUUGCACAUGCUUUAAGCUUCAACACUCUAUUCAACUCUCUAAUUUCCUUAUAAUGUCAGGAAAGUAUUUGGAUGAAGCACAUAAUAAAUAAAAUUCCUAAAAUUUAAUUUUUAUACUAUGAAUUUUCUGUAAUGAAAAAGCUAUCCCAAAUAUUACUGGAAAGCAUUUAUCCAGCUCAGUGUCAAAAAGCCACUUACCAGUUAUGGAACCGUUAUUUUGAGGAGGUUCAUCUGGAUGGGUUUUUGUCUCUCCUCCCCUUCACCUUCCCCCUCCCCUCCAAGAGAGAAAAAAAGCACCUUUUUUGUUCAUUUUUCCUGGUAUGGGCCAAAGGAACAGGAAAGAGUGGCUCUCUGAACCAGGAGCAAACUAUUAUUUGGAAAAGGAUAAAAAUGGUGUUGUAAAGGUAAGUGUCAAUCCCUCUCACAUCCAUUAAAGGGAUCUUGAUUGGUAGAAUUUCAUUCUGACAAAAGGUUUUAAUUUGUUUAAGCAUAUCCCUCUUUUCUUCAGGUCUUAGAGCCAUUUCUCUGAGAUCCUUGUUUUUAGAUCAAAGCCUUCAAACUUCAAUCCCUCACUCACCUACUAUCCCCAGGAAAAGGUUCCUUCUGAAGUGCUGAGAAGGCAUUCGUUUAAAAUCUAAAGCCAAAAUUUUAUGAUGAGCUCUUAUGUAUAGCACCCUUUAAAAACAACAGCUUUUUACUUUGCUUUUUCCUUUUACCUAUAUAAUAGUUUCAUUGUAGCCAGAAUUGUCACGUGAUUAAAUUCUCUUACACCUUAAAUGGCCUUUUUUUAUACGAGUCCCUUUAUUGCUAAUUAUAAAAAGAUAUAGGACCUAAUUUUAUGUAUAUUAGGAAUUUGGUAAGCCCUUAUGCUGAAUAUCUGUUGGAUAAGCCGUUGCUAUGGGCAGAACACUUAAAAUGUCAUGCUACCAAGGGCCAGACAUUGAAGAGUACACAAUAUUAAAAGACUUGAUGUAGUUCCUAAAUCUGAUACUGAAAAGGACCAGCUAGUGCAAUGGCUGGCCCUUAUUUAUUACUUAGCACCUGUUUUGAGAGUGCAUUUUAUCCCAGCCUUUUGAAACCAACAUUUUUCAGGAGAAGAUAAAAUAGAAAUUGUGUGCUGAGUUUUGUAACAGUGGUGAAAUUCUGAUAGGUUUUCAAAGUUAAUUGAUCCUUUGUUACUGUACAUAUUCAGAAUGAGGCUGCAAAGACUUUUUAUAUUCUGUCUCUGCCUUUGUACAUAUGUAUAUAUAGCAUGUUUAUAUUAAUCAUUGUACAUCUCCAGUAAUGUUGUGCCAUGCUCUGUAUAUAAAUUAAAAGAGUUGAGAGAGUUA